rnacentral:rRNA from 1 species
AUUGAACGCUGGCGGCAGGCCUAACACAUGCAAGUCGAACGAGUGGCGGACGGGGGAGUAAUGUCUGGGAAACUGCCCGAGGGAGGGGGAGAACUACGGGAAACGGUAGCUAAUACAGCAUACAAUAGGAUGUGACCAGAUGGGAUUAGCUAGUGGGUGGGGUAACGGCUCACCUAGGCGACGAGCCCUAGCUGGUCUGAGAGGAGGACCAGCAACACUGGCACUUAGACACGGUCCCGACGCCUACGGGAUGCAGCAGUGGGGAAUAUUCCACAAUGGGCGCAAGCCUGAUGCAGCCAUGCCGCGUGUAUGAAGAAGGCCUUCGGGUUGUAAAGUACUUGCUGCGAGUAGGCGUUAUUCGCAGAGGAAGCCCCGGCUAACUCCGUGCCAGCAGCCGCGGUAAUAC